AACGAACGCUGGCGGCAGGCCUAACACAUGCAAGUCGAACGCCCUAGCAAUAGGGAGUGGCAGACGGGUGAGUAACACGUGGGAACCUUCCCUAUAGUACGGAAUAGCCCAGGGAAACUUGGAGUAAUACCGUAUACGCCCGAGAGAGGAAAGAUUUAUCGCUAUAGGAUGGGCCCGCGUCGGAUUAGCUAGUUGGUGAGGUAAUGGCUCACCAAGGCAACGAUCCGUAGCUGGUUUGAGAGAAUGACCAGCCACACUGGGACUGAGACACGGCCCAGACUCCUACGGGAGGCAGCAGUGGGGAAUCUUGGACAAUGGGCGAAAGCCUGAUCCAGCCAUGCCGCAUGAGUGAUGAAGGCCUUAGGGUUGUAAAGCUCUUUUGGCGGGGACGAUAAUGACGGUACCCGCAGAAUAAGUCCCGGCUAACUUCGUGCCAGCCGCCGCCGUAA
rnacentral:rRNA from 1 species